UACGUAGGGGGCGAGCGUUGUCCGGAAUUAUUGGGCGUAAAGAGCGUGUAGGCUGUUCGGUAAGUCUGCCGUGAAAACCUGAGGCUCAACCUCGGGCGUGCGGUGGAUACUGCCGGGCUAGAGGACGGUAGAGGCGAGUGGAAUUCCCGGUGUAGCGGUGAAAUGCGUAGAUAUCAGGAGGAACACCGGUGGCGAAGGCGCCUAUCUGGCCCGAUACUGACGCUGAGGCGCGAAAGCUAGGGGAGCAAACGGG
rnacentral:rRNA from 1 species